CCUACGGGGAGCAGCAGUGGGGAAUAUUGGACAAUGGGGGGAACCCUGAUCCAGCGACGCCGCGGGAGUGAAGAAGGAGUUCGGUAGGUAAAGCUCUAUCAGCAGGGAAGAAAAGGACGGUACCUGAAUAAGAAGCCCCGGCUAACGACGUGGCAGCAGCCGCGGUAAUACGUAGUGGGCAAGCGUUAUCCGGAUUUACUGGGUGUCAAGGGAGCGUAGACGGUGCCGCAAGUCUGAUGUGAAAGGUCGGGGCCCAACCCCGGGACUGCAUUGGAAACGGUUGAACUGGAGUACAGGAGAGGUCAGCGGUAUUCCUUGUGUCGCGGUUACAUGCGUAGCUAUUAGGAGGAACACCAGUGGCGCCGGCGGCUUACUGGACUGUAACUGACGUUGAGGCUCGACAGCCUGGGGCGCAAACAGGAUUAGAUACCCCUGUAGUC
rnacentral:rRNA from 1 species